rnacentral:snRNA from 1 species
AUCUCUAGAACAGAAAAAUAAAAACAGCGUGGUAUCUCUUCUUAUCAGUUUAACAUCUGACACAUCUUCUAUCUGAGAACAGUGUAUUAAUGGGUUUUUGGAAACAGGAGGUGGCAUAGGAGCUUGCUCCACCACCCCAUGCAUCCACCUGGCAAUGCAGCUCUCUAGGAACAGAGCCAGGAAA